rnacentral:tRNA from 1 species
GCCGGGAUAGCUCAGUCGGUAGAGCGGAGGAUUGAAAA